rnacentral:rRNA from 1 species
AACGAACGCUGGCGGCAUGCCUAACACAUGCAAGUCGAACGAAGGCUUCGGCCUUAGUGGCGCACGGGUGAGUAACACGUGGGAACCUGCCUUUCGGUUCGGAAUAACGUCUGGAAACGGACGCUAACACCGGAUACGCCCUUCGGGGGAAAGUUUACGCCGAGAGAGGGGCCCGCGUCGGAUUGGGUAGUUGGUGAGGUAAUGGCUCACCAAGCCUUCGAUCCGUAGCUGGUCUGAGAGGAUGAUCAGCCACACUGGGACUGAGACACGGCCCAGACUCCUACGGGAGGCAGCAGUGGGGAAUAUUGGACAAUGGGCGCAAGCCUGAUCCAGCAAUGCCGCGUGAGUGAUGAAGGCCUUAGGGUUGUAAAGCUCUUUCGCACGCGACGAUGAUGACGGUAGCGUGAGAAGAAGCCCCGGCUAACUUCGUGCCAGCCGCCGCCGUAACAC